UGUAAUAUGUAGAACAACUAGUGUUUACCAGUGUGGGAUGGAAAAACUCUCAACAAUUUCUGUAGCACGGCUUUACCCCCAGUGGUACCUCCUCCAGAAGGCAAACUGUACUCAUGAAAGAGUUUGUGGUGAAUGUUCACUUUCAGGCUGGCUAACAGAUGGCGUUUGGCUACCUAUGACUAAUACAGAUAAUUUUUUUCUCUUGAUACGGUGAGUACAACAGAUUCAAGAAAGCCAUUAUGCCUGGAAAAGUAGCUGUGUUGCACAGAGAAGCAGUUCUUCUGCAGAUCGCUAAGCAACUGCAUAUUGUUAUAUUGAAGCGUAGCUGUAUUUGUAAACUGUGAAACCCUCGAAUUUUGGAGAUCCUCGUGGAAGAGCAGGCAGCACUUGGGCAGCACGUGGCUGAAGCUGGCUCAUCAGUGGAUAAGGACAGCUGCUGGGGAGCUGGUCAGACAAAUUGCUGUGAGAACGCUGCCAGCAUUAAGGACACUGAAAAAUCUCCAUGUAAUAGAGGUCAAUAUACGCCUUUGCAUAUUCACAGGACUUGCAGUGCUUAUCCAUGUGGUUUUGGUACGGAGAGUGAGAACCACCAAGAUUCUGGUGGGAAUGUAGUGACAGACUGAACAAAGAUGAAGAGACGGUGAUUACCAAUCAUCACUGCAACCUCUACUAUUCAAGAGUAGCUUCUUGGAUCAUCAUCCAGAUGGGUUAGGGCCUCCUGAGAUACUGCCCAGUAUGCUCUUUUGAAUGCUGAAUGUCAUCCUACAAUUGAGAUUUCAGCAAAUGAAAUUCAGUGGCAGAAUUCAUGGACUGGAGCUGGAAGGUGAAGUGGUUGUGAAAGGUGAUUGCAUGAUGGUGAGUUCCUGCAUUGGGAAGCUGUCCCUUUAAGAAGCUCUGAAGAGCAAUGGGUCUCCCUGCCAGACACAGACAGAAGAGGAUUUGAAGACAUCUUUUAAGAUAAAUACAGAGAAUUGAGGUAUGAGAGAUACUGGUGAUCAGAAGCGGUUGGGUCCCUAACCACUGAGAUAAGGAGAUGGGUGUUCGGGAUGCUGAACUCUGUCACUGGAGAGUUGUCCGAGGGCUUCCUUGCAGUGUUGUUGUCCAGGUCUGCGACUGUGGGUGAGCAACCUGUUGCUAAGGUGUGUGCUACGCCCUACCAUCAUGCCUGAUGCAUAGGUCUCCUGUGUAUUGGUACCAGUACUGGCACUGGGCAUCCUUUACUCAGUGACAUUUUAUUGGCUAUAAAACUCUGGAAAGGCAGCUUCUGCAUAUUCAGAGGUAGGAAAAUCUUCAGUCUUCCUUCUGUAGGAUUCUGUAGGUUUGUAAAAGUCUGUUAGUGACGAGGUUGCAUUUUAAUGCACUUUGAAAAGCUGCAGUUGUGACGUGACGUUUCUUUUCCUGUGACAGUCAUUGUCACAAAAAUAGCUACGUGUUAUCUGCAGAGACUCGCCGGGUGAGUUUUCUUGUGGCUGGCUGGUGACAUGAUUACAGACAAAAGGUUUAAUGGCUCUCGUGCUGGGCACACACUUGAAUGGAAAAAUUAAAUGAAUAAUCAUUAAAGUUUAUGGGCCAAAUUCCUAAAAGUGUCCAUGUUCAAGGGGAAUCUAAAUAGAAAUAUCUCAUAACUUGUGCUUUUCGCUAAUCCCCUUGUGCAUGUGAGGUGUCAGCUUCCAUUUUCAUAGAUAGGUGUGGACUCACUCCCCCUAACACAUAAUCAUAUUUACAGUCACCUAUUUUGUCCUCGUAUGCUAAAAGAAUCUAAAUCUAACUCUUCUUGAAUAUAAAAGGAAGGUGUAUAGUUGCUAAGGUA